AACGGCCAUACCAUGCUGAAUAAUACCGGUUCUCGUUCGAUCACCGAAGUCAAGCAUCAUUGGGCGCUGCCAGUACUUGGGUGGGUGACCACCUGGGAACACCGCGUGCCGUU